GGCAGGACUGGCCUGUCAUGAAAUGUCAUAAUCAGCUGAUAUCGCUGGAACUUCCACACCUGGUUGGAUAUUGAUUUUACUUCAAAGAAGAAGCAGGGAAGAGAAUCUUACUAUGAAUUCUACUCUUACGGUCUAUCUGGUCUGCAAACACCUCUCCAUAGAUCAUCCAGUAGGGCAUGUAGAAGAUAUUUCGGGCCAGUUUCCAAGAAGGCUUCUCCUCUGGAUGCAGAAUGGCUUGACGGGCUACUCCAAAACUCAUGAGCACGACCAGCAUGAUGACCACAAAGUACAGCAUGUCGAUCAUCUGAGUUGAUACAUCUAAAAGAAUCUUUGUUUCCAACUGGACUGACUCAUUGAGAGGAAACCUUCCCUGCACCUCACCAGUAAAGACAGAAGACCUGGAGGCAGGACGGGAGCUGGAGGCUCAUCAUCCUGAGGGGAGAAACACGGAUUUCAUGGUUUUGCCAGAAAAGUAUGCAACAAAGAAUUCCAGAACUCAUGGAGAAAGGGAAACUUUUCUG